GUCAGAUAUGGUGAUUUUUUUUAAACCUAUUUGGUGCUUGUUUGUUUUUGUAUUUCUGUAACAAUUCUUGAGUUUUGUUCUGAGAUGCAGUUACAUUACCUUUCAGAUCUUUCUUUUAAGAUUUGCUAGAGCAAAAGAUUUUUUUUAAGAAUGGAUCUGGAUCUAGAGCUACAUAUUCCCUACUACUCAGACAUGAUUCCUUUUUCUACUCUUUUCCAUGUCCUGUGAAUCAUGAUGUUCUCUGAACCUGGUUGGUGGGACAGGACACUGUUGCCUAUUCAUCUGGAGCAUUGGAUACUUUACCUCUAAUGCUUUUGGACAGUGUUUUCCUUCACUUCAGAGAGUUUCCCCUUGCCUGUGUGCUGAGCACUAUCCAGCUGGAUGCUGUUGCACUCAGCAGAGGAGGGUUUCUCCAGUUCCCAGAGUUUUCUUUCUUCCUUCCUUCCUCUCUCUCUCUCUCUCUUUCUUUCUUUCUUUUUCUUUCUUUCUUUCUUUCUUUCUUUCUUUCUUCUUUAGUGUAGCCCUCUCCUUUCUAGUCUAGACUUGAUCUCCCCACUCUUACUCACAGCAGAGAGUCUAACAUGCUCUACACUUUGCAGUUUGCCACCACAGCCUGGAAAUUCUCUGAAGGUUAAAGUCUGGGGAAGUGUUGGGGUUCACCUCACUUUUUCCUUCUCUCUCAAAGAUCACUCUUGGUCAGUGAUUGAUGUCCAUUGUCUUGAAAACUGUUCUUUCAAAAGACAACACUGUUCCCUAUUGUUCUUAUCUGAAUGCCAAAGUCCACAGACUGUACUAAUUAGAAAAUUUAACUAUAGCAAAUAAAUUCUAACACCUCUUUAAAGAACAGUUCGCUUCUUUCUUACACUGCUAAGUAUACUAUGCUUCUUGAUAUGGUGAUUUGGGUUCUGUCUAGAGAAUGACUUUAUCAACACCUAGGGGGUCCCAAGAAAUUUUUGUAGCCAGUCAGUGGGCAGGAAAGUGAGUAGAGAGAACACGUUGUUCCUUAGUUAUGUGGUACUGGAAGUGCCAUCACUUUCCCUCACUUUUCAUUGGUGAGCACUUUAAAGCCCCAUCUGGAUGUAAAGAAAUACAGUUGCUGACUAGGCAGGCGUAGCCCAGGGACAACGGGGAAGAGAGAGCAUAGGUUUUAGGUGGAGUGCAAGAUGCCUAUAUUGCAU
rnacentral:lncRNA from 1 species